GAGUUUGAUCUUGGCUCAGAUUGAACGCUGGCGGCAUGCCUUACACAUGCAAGUCGAACGGCAGCACGGGAGCUUGCUCCUGGUGGCGAGUGGCGAACGGGUGAGUAAUGCAUCGGAACGUAUCCUGGAGUGGGGGAUAACGUAGCGAAAGUUACGCUAAUACCGCAUAUUCUGUGAGCAGGAAAGCGGGGGACCUUCGGGCCUCGCGCUCUUGGAGCGGCCGAUGUCGGAUUAGCUAGUUGGUGAGGUAAAGGCUCACCAAGGCGACGAUCCGUAGCAGGUCUGAGAGGAUGAUCUCGCCACACUAGGAACUGAGACACGGUCCAGACCUUCCGACGGGAGCAG
rnacentral:rRNA from 1 species